rnacentral:rRNA from 1 species
UACGUAGGGGGCAAGCGUUGUCCGGAUUUAUUGGGCGUAAAGAGCGCGUAGGCGGUCCGAUAAGUCGGCUGUGAAAAUCAGGGGCUCAACCUUGAAAGCCGGCCGAUACUGUCGGACUAGAGUCCGGAAGAGGCAAGUGGAAUUCCCGGUGUAGCGGUGAAAUGCGCAGAUAUCAGGAAGAACACCCGUGGCGAAGGCGGACUUUCUGGGACGGUACUGACGCUGGAGACGCGAAAGCGUGGGGAGCGAACAGG